CAAUAGCGUAUAUUAAAGUUGUUGCAGUUAAAAAGCUCGUAGUUGGAUUUGUGGCGUACGGUGUGUUCCGGGCACUUGUUGUCUGAGUAACCUGCUGUUGCCAUCCUUGGGUGGAACCUGUGUGGCAUUAGGUUGGCGUGCAGGGGAUGCCCAUCAUUUACUGUGAAAAAAUUAGAGUGUUCAAAGCAGGCUUAUGCCGUUGAAUAUAUUAGCAUGGAAUAAUGAGAUAGGACUUUUUUGCUAUUUUGUUGGUUUGCGCAAAGAGGUAAUGAUUAAUAGGGACAGUUGGGGGUAUUCGUAUUCCAUAGUCAGAGGUGAAAUUCUUGGAUUUUUGGAAGACGAACUACUGCGAAAGCAUUUACCAAGGAUGUUUUCAUUAA
rnacentral:rRNA from 1 species